UGCCUUCGAGCGGGGGAUAACGGCCCGAAAGGGACGCUAAUACCGCAUGACAUCCUGCCUUUGAAGAGGCGGAGAUCAAAGCCGGGGAUCGCAAGACCUGGCACUCRGAGAGGGGCCCGCGCCUGAUUAGCUAGUUGGUGGGGUAAUGGCCUACCAAGGCAACGAUCAGUAUCCGGCCUGAGAGGGCGGACGGACACACUGGGACUGAUACACGGCCCAGACUCCUACGGGAGGCAGCAGUGGGGAAUUGUUCCAAUGGGCGCAAGCCUGACGACGCAACGCCGCGUGGAGGAUGAAGAUCUUCKGAUCGUAAACUCCUGUCGAAUGGGGCGAACAGAUCUYGGGUGAACAAUCCAAGGUCCUGACGGUACCGUUAAAGGAAACCCCGGCUAACUCCGUGCCAGCAGCCGCGGUAAUACGGUGGGGGUAAGCGUUGUUCGGAAUUACUGGGCGUAAAGGGCUCGUAUGCKGUCAACUAANUCAGACG
rnacentral:rRNA from 1 species